GGAGAGAGAUAGAGAGAGAGAGAGAGAGAGAGAGAGAGAGAGAGAGAGAGAGAGAGAGAGAGAGAGUCUGCUGGAGUCCACAGACCACCGGCCCUGGAGAAGAGUACUGCUCAGGGUCCUGGAGUGACCUGGAGAAGAUGGUUAGAGGAUAAACAGAAGAAAAGAGUCAGUCUUUGGAGAUUUGGGUUUUUCUUCUUUUCCUGCGCUCGAGCUGAGGGGUCUCUGUUCGGGCAGUGCUGGUGAGAUGACAGAGGUGGAACCGGUUCUAGACUUUGCCUCGUCCGGCAGGUCCGGACGCAGGAACGCUCUGCCAGACAUACUUGGUUCUCCGGCAGGGGUCAACCCUACAGACCUCCCUCUCAAACUGGCGGAGCUGUCCCUCACUGAUGGACCAGGUGGAGCUCAGUCCCCCACGUCUGAGGAAGCUCCACUGCCCUCAGAAAGCUCAGAAGUGAAGGAUGGAUAGUAGACUCCUCCUAAACCCUGCCCCAACAUGGGAGGCGCUGACGUACAGGAAGAAAUGGAAGAGCGAGAGAGGCAAAGGCAGAUGGAUAGAGAGAAGAAGAGAAGGAGAAACUGAGAAGCGGUAAUCCGAUUAGUCAGGAGCUGCGCUCCUCGGAUUGAGCUUUGGUACCAGCAAGCCUGUGCAGGCAUAGCGUUUGGCCUUUUCCACAUAUACACACAUACAUGAGCACACACACAUGCACAUAUAUAUAUACACACACACACACACACGCACGCACACCGAGGCCCGGACUUCAGAACGCCCUAAAGCAGAGGUGCUGAAAUCUACAGGAACGUAUGAAAAAGAGUCGUUGUGUGCAUCGCAAGUUUUCAUUGGACAUAAUGAAAGAAG